UAUAUUAUCAGGUGGGUUGUCCAACCAGCCCUCAUCACCAUUAAGAAAUCGGAUCAUGUUGUGGAAUACCGCAGCAGCUGCUGGAAUCCACACUUGGUUCUUUAUCCGAUGGAAAGUACCUACUUUCAAGAUGGGAAAUCGCUUCUUUAAAACCCCUAGAGCUCUCUCUACAUGGUUUCUUAGAAUGGAAUGUCGAUGAUUGAAUAACUCCUUGUAGUCUCUAGGUCGACGAUGACCACAUCCAAACUCCUUUAGAUGGUACCGAACACCACGAUAAGGAGCAAUGAACUGUGGUGUGUUGGCAUAACUACCAACUAGAGAAAAUUUACCAUCUAGGACUUGAAAGCCACUAUUCAUUGCUGAUGUAAGGACCCUAGCAUCUGUUGCAGAUCCCUCCCAACCACAUGAGAUAAAAGUGAAAUUUAGGUCAAAAUCACAAGCAACCAUCACAUUUUGGCUCAAAGUCCCCUUUUUGUUCCUAUAAGGAGCUGCC
rnacentral:sRNA from 1 species